GGCGUACUCGUCUCCCUUCCGUCCUGCUUCCUCAGCCCUGGAGCUCCGCGGGACUUGGGUGGGUCUCGACCGCGGCGGCACCCGCGGAGGCGGUAGUGACAGCGACUGCGUGAGACUCGGGGGGAAAUGGCGAUGGCGAUGUCGGACAGUGGGGCGAGCCGUCUGCGGCGGCAGCUGGAAUCGGGGGGUUUUGAGGCCCGGCUGUACGUGAAGCAGCUCUCGCAGCAGUCGGACGGGGACCGGGACCUGCAGGAGCACCGGCAGCGCAUCCAGGCGCUGGCGGAGGAGACGGCGCAAAACCUGAAGCGCAACGUCUACCAGAACUACCGGCAGUUCAUAGAGACUGCCCGCGAGAUCUCCUACCUGGAGAGCGAGAUGUAUCAGCUCAGCCAUCUGCUGACGGAGCAGAAGAGCAGCCUGGAGAGCAUUCCGCUUACCCUGCUCCCGGCUGCCGCCGCCGCCGCCGGGGCCGCCGCGGCCUCUGGAGGAGAGGAAGGAGGAGGUGGCGCGGGGGGCCGAGACCACCUGCGGGGCCAGGCUGGCUUUUUUCCUACACCCGGGGGCGCCUCCCGCGACGGUGCGGGUCCGGGCGAGGAAGGGAAGCAGCGCACUCUUACCACCCUGCUUGAGAAGGUGGAAGGUUGCAGGCACCUGCUGGAGACGCCGGGGCAGUACCUGGUGUACAACGGGGAUUUGGUGGAAUACGAGGCGGACCACAUGGCCCAACUGCAGCGGGUGCACGGCUUUCUCAUGAACGACUGUUUGCUGGUGGCCACCUGGCUGCCUCAGAGGCGUGGGAUGUAUCGCUACAACGCCCUCUAUCCCCUGGAUGGUUUGGCCGUGGUCAAUGUCAAGGACAACCCGCCCAUGAAAGACAUGUUCAAGCUGCUAAUGUUUCCCGAGAGCCGUAUUUUUCAGGCGGAAAAUGCUAAAAUCAAACGAGAGUGGCUGGAAGUGCUGGAGGAAACCAAGAGGGCCCUCAGUGAAAAAAGACGCAGGGAACAGGAGGAGGCAGCGGCCCCACGAGGGCCACCGCAGGUGCCUUCCAAGGCCAGUAACCCAUUUGAGGACGAAGACGACGACGAACCAGCUGUUCCUGAGGUAGAAGAAGAGAAGGUGGACCUCUCAAUGGAGUGGAUCCAGGAGUUGCCUGAAGACCUGGAUGUCUGUAUCGCCCAGAGGGACUUUGAAGGGGCCGUUGACCUGCUGGACAAAUUGAACCAUUACCUGGAAGAUAAGCCCAGCCCACCGCCUGUUAAAGAACUAAGGGCCAAAGUGGAUGAGCGCAUCCGACAGCUCACGGAGGUGCUAGUUUUUGAACUCUCCCCAGAUCGUUCCCUGAGAGGUGGUCCCAAGGCUACUCGAAGGGCAGUUUCUCAACUAAUCCGGCUUGGCCAGUGCACAAAGGCUUGUGAGCUGUUUUUGAGAAACAGGGCAGCAGCUGUGCAUACCGCAAUCCGCCAGCUUCGCAUCGAGGGUGCCACUUUACUCUACAUCCAUAAGCUAUGCCACGUCUUCUUUACGAGCCUUCUUGAGACUGCAAGGGAAUUCGAGACGGAUUUUGCAGGCACUGACAGUGGCUGCUACUCUGCCUUUGUGGUCUGGGCGAGAUCAGCCAUGGGCAUGUUCGUGGAUGCUUUUAGCAAGCAGGUGUUUGACAGUAAGGAGAGCCUCUCUACAGCGGCUGAGUGUGUCAAAGUGGCCAAGGAGCACUGUCAGCAACUGGGUGACAUCGGACUGGACCUCACCUUCAUCAUCCAUGCCCUUCUGGUGAAAGACAUCCAAGGGGCCUUGCACAGUUACAAAGAAAUUAUCAUCGAAGCCACUAAACAUCGCAACUCUGAGGAGAUGUGGAGGAGGAUGAACUUGAUGACUCCAGAGGCCCUGGGCAAGCUCAAAGAGGAGAUGAAGAGUUGUGGGGUGAGGAACUUUGAGCAGUACACCGGGGACGACUGCUGGGUGAACCUGAGCUACACGGUGGUUGCUUUUACCAAACAGACCAUGGGCUUCUUGGAAGAGGCACUGAAGCUGUAUUUCCCCGAGCUGCACAUGGUACUUUUGGAGAGCCUGGUGGAGAUCAUUUUGGUCGCUGUGCAGCAUGUGGAUUAUAGCCUUCGGUGUGAGCAGGAUCCAGAGAAAAAGGCCUUUAUCAGACAGAAUGCAUCCUUUCUAUAUGAGACCGUCCUCCCCGUGGUGGAGAAAAGGUUUGAGGGAGGUGUGGGGAAACCUGCCAAGCAACUCCAGGACCUGAGGAACGCAUCUAGACUUAUUCGUGUGAACCCCGAAAGUACAACAUCAGUGGUCUGAUGCUCACGUCGUGGGUAUAUGUAUACGUAUAUGUUGCUCAUAUAUUAUUUAUAUUUAUAUAUUAAGUUGCAUUAGCAUAUUCUUUAUAGUCUCAAACACAGCUUAAAAAUAAAAGAUGCCCUCUCAAACAGAAAUGCAGAAUCAAAAGGAAAAAGAAAAGAAAGUUCCAAUUAAGCCCCAAUGACAAAACAUUGGAAUUGUUAAAAUACAUGCUUUCCUUUUAAGUUAUGCUAAGAAUAUGUUGUCAUACUGCAGCAUUUCAGUGUAUCCUUUGAGUCAAAACACACUUCCUUACAGUAUAUUUUAUGCAGCACAGAGAAAUCCUAUCUAAAAUACAUAGGGUUUAAGUAUGUUGUGAAGUUUCCCCGUUGACUAAAAUGUUAGGUUUCUUAAAGAGUACAGUUCCAUACAAAACACCCUGGUUCAUAUACUUCCCCACCUUAAAAUGUGAUUGAACAACUUUGGGAAAAGAAAGGAAUUGAGAAGAUUGGUUUUAGGGUACAUUUUGGUCAAAAGAAUUCCUUCUUAAAAGUGGCUAGUUUGUGGACUCCAGUACUUGGAACCUUCUAGAAUACAAGGGGGAGCUUUCAUAAAAACAGUUCAGCAAACAUUUCCAACGUCAUUUGAAUGGCUGAUUAUUUUGAGCUGCUAAUUAGCAGCUUUAUGAUACUUGAUUUGGGAGCAUUUACUUGAAUCUUAAGGACUAUGGUAAAAAACAUUUUCAACAUGUUCCUGAACUGUGUGAAUUUCCAGCUGGAGCUUUUGUCUUUAUCAUAUUAAAAAAAUAAAAAUGAUUAAAGAAGCAGGACAGACUGAGGAACCUGGCAACCGCCAGUGAUUUUUAGCUGCCUCCCCCGGUUUUUUCCGUGUAAAUUAUAUAGUGGCUCAGACUUCAUGCAAAUGGGAGAAAAGUAUACAUGGAAAUAUUUAUGUAGAUUUCAGGUCUGGGUGGAUGGGAAAAGAGAAAAAAUCAUAUGCACACCCUAUAGUGUUCUCAAGUAUGACUGCUUUGAGCAGAGAUCUGCUUUUGGGUUUUUUUGUAACAAAGUAGAGAACAAAAAAGUGAGACCGUGUGCCCAAAGCAAAGGGAGGAAACGAACUUUUGGUGACUCCUACUGCAUGUUUCAUGUUUUAUAUUUUCCUUUAUUCUUAAAAGUGAAUAUAAUGCUUCAGAUUGUUUAGUGAAACAAAAAUAGCUCAAGAUAUUUGAGCUUCCCAAGGUUUCUGAACUACUGUUUCUACUGUACCUUGAGCAUAUCUCUCAUCCGUGGAGAGAAAUUGUGCUCAGGUUCAUUUUUCCACUAGCUUUCAGUUGUGAUUCUUGUCCAAAAGUGCCAUUUCUGAUGCCACGGACUUCAAAAGGUCGUAUUUUUUUCCUGAAUUAAAAUAGUGAUAUUAAGACUGGAAAUUAGGUAAAACUUAAAAUUGCUUCCAAGAGUGGCUUAGGGUUGCGAAGCUCCUUGACGUCAUUACUCAUUGGCAGAGGAGCCCUUUUAUUUAUUUUUAGCGAUGCCUUUUAAGGGUGGAAAAUUAUCAGAGGUACAGAUUUUCUUUGAUUAAUUUUUCACAUACAGUUAGGAUUUUCUAGAUAACAAAAAAAAACAACUAUAAAUUGUCUUUUUUAAGAUCACUGGAAACAUGAAUUUGAUAAAAACUUUUACGAUUACUUUGUGCAACUUACGGUUUCUAAAAUUAUAUUGUGUGAAACACAUAGCGUGUAAAUAUUUGAUGUUGGGUCCAGGAAAUGAUACUUUGGAAGUCAAAACUUAAGGCAUGAAGUUGUAAAAACUUAAAUGUAUAUACUCAGAUAAUUCAAAUGGUUGCGUCUUCAUAGAACCGUUUGCUUUUUAAAACUGGAAGUACAGAAUUUUCUUCUGGUAAAAUCUGUGUGUUCCUUGAUCAGAGUUAUAGUUGUUGGUGAUUCAAUUACCGUGGGAAGUUGAUCAAAGACCACCACCAGUGUUACAGUGUACCUUUGUGCCAAGACAGAGCCAUUACAUUGCAUUCCCCAAAGUGGAGUCAGAGCUCUUCUCUAAUUCUUGUUUCCUUAGAUUCCCAAGUGCUAACAAUGGAAUGAAAUUGUCCAAAAAUACAUAGUACGUGCUGUAAUAUACCACCGAAGAGUUGAUUGCCUUUGCUUGUUUGCCUCAAACAGAACACUGUCGCUCGAGCUUGGAAUCACAGACUUGAUUGAAUUCAUUACUGUUGCAAAAAAGACACCCUGUGGUAUUAAGUCUCUCUUUGAUUAAAGCCUCAUUGAAUUUAAAGUGCUUAACACUCACUUUUCUUUAAAAUACUACCUAUAGUUAAAUUAUCGGCACUUGUAUUUUGCAACUUGCUUACCUGGGAUUGGGAAUUUGGGGCUCGACAUGUAGGAUAAAAUCAGUACAUGUACAUCUUGCUUAUUGAUAUGCUGUGAUACGAGGGAAUCUGAAAUGUUUUAUCAAAAUAAAGCUUAAAAUUUUUCUUACGCUGGAUAAAAUUGGUAUUACAAUGUUAUAUCUCUCUUCUUUAAUUAGGAUUCAGUAUUCUUACAUUCUUGUUACUGAAAUACUGUUUCAUGAGCCCAGGUUUUGUUUUUUUUGGUUUAUUUUUGUAUAUGGGGAUGAUAGGUAGGAAGCUGUUAGCUAAUUGAAAUAAGUGUUCUGCUUACUAUCCGAAUUGUGAUCAAAUCAGAUCUGUUUUUGGGGGACUCUCUUGAGUGGGAAAUUUCAGACACACAAAGUGUGAAUUGGCUCUAAAAAGUGGGUUUGAUGCCAUCUGCACAUCCUAAAUGAAGGAAAUAUAAUGUCGGCCAUGUGACCCAGGACCUAGGAACAUAAAUGACAAGGGUCUGUUUUUUUAAUACAUACAGAUCCUGCGGGAGCUUUCACAUAUGAUUGAUUUAAGAAGUAAAAGUAUUUGUUGAAUGCCGUGCCUCACAUGGACCAUAAUGCGGGGUGGGGAGGACAAAAUAAAUUUGAGCAUGCUUUCUCUGAAAUGCUUGAGACUUGGAAAAAAUAGAGAAUAAAAAAUUGGAAAAAAAUAGGUUGGAAAGGAAAUGAAAUACACAACAGUGUGAUGCAAAUUACGUCAAUUAAAUGAGUGCAGACAGCGUUGCAAAAAACCCCAAAGCCCUGUGUGUUGUCAUUUUCGUGCUCAGUAAUUUCGUGGGAAUACUGAGAAGGAAGAGGGCAGCAUUGUUUUGAGAAGUUUGGAGAGUCCUCAUGGAUUUGUUGGCCUUGGAGCUGGCCCUUGAAGGAUGGACAAGAUUUAAAUGCACAAAGGAAAAGGAAGAGCAAAGGUCCGGGAUGCAUUCUGAAAUACCAAAUGAAUCUUAGCGUCUGCUGAGCUCAUCGUGAUUUUUCUUCUACGUCAUAUUAAUUGGAUAAGUUUUUAAAAUCGAUUUCCUAACACUGAACCACACUUACACCCUGUGAAUUAAUUCUAUUUGGUUGCAAUAUAUAAUUGUUUUAAUAUACUGCCUGAUUCUAAUGAAGACUUCAUUCACAUUUUUGUAUCGGUAUCCAUUAGCAAUAUCGGUCUAUGAUGGUGUGUGUGUGCUUUGUCAUGCUUAUGUCAUUCAUGAGGUGCGCGGGGCCUGAUAAUAAUGAUAAUGAAAUGAUAAGACACAUUCUCAUUUCUUUCAGUCCCCAAACAGUGAGAAUGAAAAAUCAGACAGUGUGACACAGCUGGCUUGUAGCCCCUCAAAUCAGAAUUCGUCACUCUAAGCUUAUAGGACAGUUAGAGCUCUUACAAAAAGAGAUAAGGAGGCGUUCCAUUGACCCUCCUCUCCAUUCCAUUUUACUCUUUAACAGAGUUGUACGGGACAUGCAAGAUACAUGUAUGUUAAAUAUAUUCCCAUUAUGUUGAGAAACACAUGUAUGUUUUAAUCUCACACCACACAUACAGAAUAUUUGCAUUUCAUUUUUUCUCAUCGGCUUCCCUAGAGCAGUGUUGGGCAUAACAUAGACACUUGAUAAAUGCUGAUUAAUGAAUAUUAUUGACUGGAUGAUUCGAAUAACUAAUGACAGUUCUCGGUUAUGAAGGUCCUAGUUUGCACCGGGCCCUUUCCAGGCAUUAUCUCAUUUGACCCUCACAGUAACUCUGGAAGAUAGCAAUUGUUCUAGUCCUUGUCCAGCUAAGGAAAGAGACAGAGAGGUUGCUGUUUGGCCAAAGCAUCUCCCCACUGAGCAUGAGAGGCAGUGCUCAAGGCCAGGUCUGUUCAACGCCAAAGCAACAUUCUCUACACUCCACCUUUAACCCUACCACUACUAAUACACAGAAUUCUUUCAAAUUGGUGUUUCUUUGUACAUUUUCUGAAGAUGAAAUUUUCUUGUCAUGUGGCUCCAUCAAUAAGAAUCAGAAUAUUUAGGGCAUCUGGGUGGUUCAGUUAGUAGUUAAGCGUCUGAUCCUUGACUUCAGCUCAAGUCAUGAUCUCACAGUUCAUGAGAUCAAGUCCCACGUCGGGCUCUGCACUGACAGCACAGAGCCUGCCUGGGAUUCUCCCCCGCUCACACGUGCUCUCUCUCUGUCUCUCUAUAUAUAUCAAAAUAAAUAAACA